rnacentral:rRNA from 1 species
AUUGAACGCUGGCGGCGUGCUUAACACAUGCAAGUCGAGCGGUAAGGCCCUUUCGGGGGUACACGAGCGGCGAACGGGUGAGUAACACGUGGGUGACCUGCCCUUAGCUCUGGGAUAAGCCUGGGAAACUGGGUCUAAUACCGGAUAUGACUCCAUGACGCAUGUUGUGGGGUGGAAAGCCUUGUGCGGCUGGGGAUGGGCCCGCGGCCUAUCAGCUUGUUGGCGGGGUCAUGGCCCACCAAGGCGA